CCUACGGGAGGCAGCAGUAGGGAAUAUUGGGCAAUGGGCGGAAGCCUGACCCAGCCAUGCCGCGUGCAGGAAGAAGGCGUUAUGCGUUGUAAACUGCUUUUUUAUAGGAAGAAGGAUCCCUUGCGAGGGAAGGUGACGGUACUAUAAGAAUAAGCACCGGCUAACUCCGUGCCAGCAGCCGCGGUAAUACGGAGGGUGCAAGCGUUGUCCGGAUUUAUUGGGUUUAAAGGGUGCGUAGGCGGUUUAUUAAGUCAGUGGUGAAAGACGGUCGCUCAACGAUUGCAGUGCCAUUGAUACUGGUAGACUUGAGUGAGAUUGAGGUAGCUGGAAUGGAUAGUGUAGCGGUGAAAUGCAUAGAUAUUAUCCAGAACACCGAUUGCGAAGGCAGGUUACUAAGUCUUAACUGACGCUGAGGCACGAAAGUGUGGGGAUCAAACAGGAUUAGAUACCCUGGUAGUCCACACUGUAAACGAUGAUGACUAACUGUUGGCUUUUGGGUCAGUGGUACAGAGAAAUCGUUAAGUCAUCCACCUGGGGAGUACGCCGGCAACGGUGAAACUCAAAUGAAAUUGACGG
rnacentral:rRNA from 1 species